rnacentral:lncRNA from 1 species
GAUCAGUUAAAAGGUGAAAUGAACACGAUUAAAAGACAAAAAGAGAGACAGAGAUAGAGAGAUAGAGAGAGAGAGGGAGAGAAGAAAAGAAGGAAGAAAAAGAACAAGCUUUCUACAUAUAAAUUCUAAAUUUUAUUCCUCAUGUAGUACAAAGGCAGGCAGUCGAGGGCAGAGAAAGCAGGCAGGGAGAGGGAGACAGGGAGAAGCAAAGAGAACGUGGAGAGAUACGGAGCGAGUGGAAGAGGAAGGAGGAAGGAGAGCAAGCUCCAGGGAACUGGAGGCGCCCUGGACGCCCAGCCCUCCGGCCCAGCCGCCCUCGGACUCUGGACCGCGAGUCGUGGGCACCAGAAGCGAGACUCGGCCAAGUCCUGCCCUACCAGACAGGGAUUGAGAAACGGAAAUUUCACCACCCUCCAGCCAAACUUUCGAGGACUGAUUGCAGAGGAACUGGUGCUCCAGAUGUUGCACUAGAGGCGCUGCAAGUGUGAGCAGAUAUAAGCUGUUUUCAUCAGGGAACUUUGGCAAGAGAAUGGCUGGAUCAGCAAGUCCAUCUCCAUCAUGGAACAACAACUUGAAGCUCAUCUCUGUUGAUGGGCUGAACCCACUGGAUGUGGAAAUUCCUAGGCUAGGCAUUGAAUUGGAGCCGCAGCUGCCUGUCUAGGCCACAGUCACAGCAACACUAGAUCCGAGCCACGUCUGCGACCUACACCACAGCUCACAGCAAUGCUGGAUCCUUAACCCACUGAGCAAAGCCAGGGAUAGAACCCACGUCCUCAUGGAUACCAGUCAGGUACUCUCUACUGCUGUCUGUAGAAAUCAAGAUACUGAUGGCUCAAUGGUCUGCUGGUCAUUACAACAUUCUGCAUUUUAAUGAUCAUGAUAAAUGCUUGGAGAACAUAGAGAUGUUGGUGUUUCAGUGGAAUUAAUGACUACAUCUGUCUUUCGAUUGGUGCGUUCAUUUAAGUCAUCGGGCCUCAUGACAACUUCCCAGUCAGAUUUCGUGGAAAAGAUUGACUAUAUAUAACAUCUAACAUUUUUGAUUCUUGUAAUGGACAGGGUUUUAAACACUGGAAUCACAGUUCUGCCUAAUGAAAAGCACAGGUCUUCUAAAAAGCAAUAACAAAUAAGGUAUUUUUUAUUUUGUAAAAUAGUAUGCACACAUAUGGUAUGCACACAAGGGUCUAGGAUAUAGGCCGAUUUAAUGAUAAUCAAAUUUUAGUAGAAUUUACUUGAUUGUAACAUCUUUCUUUUAGGUUGGAGUAUGGUAUCUUAAAGAAAAUCAGAGAAAUUACUCAUUCUGGGAACAAAGACUUUUGAAAGCUGACAGCUUACUGACAGUUAUGAUGAGCAUUUAUUUCAGGCUUAUAAAACAUAUUAAUCAAACUUGUUCACAGUGUGGUGGUCCAAAGAGGGUUAUUUUAUUUUCGAGAGAUACUUUAAAUAACUGAAGAGCACUGGUAACAUAUUUUCCAUGAAUACAAAGCUACAAUAUAUAUAUUUUUUUCUUUUCUUUUUUGGCCUCCUUGUGGCAUAUGGAGUUCCCAGGCCGGGGAUCAGAUCUGAGCCAUAGUUGUGACCUAAGCUGCAGCAGUGGCAAUGCUGAAUCCUUUAACCUGCUGUGCCAGGCCGGGGUGGGGGGUGGGGAUCAAACCUGCAUCCCAGCCCUUCCAAGAGACUGCCAAUCCCAUUGCACCACGGUGGAACCUCCUAUAAUUUUUUUUUUCUUCAAAAUGAGUAAAUACUUUCCUCAGGCUUAAAGAAUGAAGUACUGUAGGAAUCUGUUUAUUACAAGACUAUUUGCAAAAGACCUAUACACCAUUCGUUGAACCUUGAAAAACACUUGAAAAUAUGGGUAGCAUUUGCAAACUUCAGUGUAUGACAUGGAAAGCUGGCAAGCUGCCUGGCUUCUACUUAAAAGAUUGUCAGUCUGGGAAAAAUAAAUUUCUCUAACUAGACAAAAGUCAAUGUUUUCAUGUUUUACUGCAAUCAAACUGAUAGAGCUGACAAUUUAAUGUCUCAACACUUAAAAUAUCUGUGGAUAAUCAGUUACCUCAAUCAAUCAUAAACACAAAUCCUUCUAUUUUCGAAGCUUGUGUGUCUGUGACUAAGAUAUAAAACAGUUUGGUGAGCCCCUUCCCCGACAACACCUCAUCAUCUAUCCCCCACCGUCCUCCCAAUAUUCCUGAUUUGUCUUUAGCUAUGCAGAUAUUUAUACACAUGAUAUAUCUGGAAAUAACUUUUAACAACUCAAAUGUGAUCAAAUUUAGAAACUUUUCUUUCGCUGUCCUGUUUUAUUUAAUUUUUACGGAUAGUUUAUAUACUAUAUGCCUGUCAGAAAAAUGUGGAAGUGUGCUGGCAUUCCAGCUGAAGACAUCAUUAUGAGUGAAAAAAUGCUCAAGGCUUUUUCAAAGUGGGUGCUGAAGCACACAUUUCCUUUCUCUGACUCUGGGGAAUGCUGCUAGCUACCCCAAACAUAUAGGUAUUUUGGGGUCAAAUGGGGCCCUUAGGAUUUCCUGGUAAGCACACUGAACAGCUCACUUCUGGAAACCAAUCAUAAUGAUGAUGAUGAUAAAGCAAGGGAGGCAGUGACAAUAGCACAAAAAGCUGCCUGAGGAAUUGGAUUCCAGAUAGCUCUAGCUUUGGCAGAGCUGACAGGUUCAGUUCAUGAAGCUUUGGUAUUGAUAAUGACGGGAAACUUCAGACAAUUUUAGAAAUCUGUUUCUAUUAAGCUUUGCUGUAGUGUUUUUGCAACUUGAUAACAAGUUUACUGGGGUACACGCUUCUUUCAACAAAAGAAUUGUGUAGUUGGUAUUACAUUCCUAACAGAUAAUUAAUCUGAGCACAGAAUAAACCAAAUUCCUUGUUCGAAGUAUUCUUUUAUAUAUUUUUUAUGUAUGGUGUAUAUGAUGGUAUAUGUAUAUAUCGACAAACAUAUUCAUUGCUGCUGCCUCCUUUUUGUUUCUUUGAUUAUUUGGGGCUUCACUAUCAAACUAAGCAGAGUUUUAGGACCCUUGGGGCAGCAUCUUUUAGUUCUGUGUCAGGCUGCGUUGCAAAACAAUCAAUCUUGGUCUUGCACUCACUUGGCGGAAGUGCCAUGACACGAAUUGUGCAGUGCUCUGCUCUUGCCAUGAAGCCUGGGUGACAAAAGUUUUUACAAGAAGCUGACUGUAUUUGAGGUUAUGAAUAUGCAAUGACUCUCAUUAGUAUUGAAGCACCAGAGCAGGGGCUGACAUCCCCCGCCACUUUGAGUUGCUGCAGAAUCGGCUAAUGAAUUGUCUUGCUCUUCCACGCACACAGUCUGCUGUUGUGGCUUCUAAGUUCCGAGGGGAGUUGCCCAGUUUGAGUAGACCAUUGACUGCAGAAAUUAAUUGUCAGGAACUACUCUUUGAUUUUGUGAAAUAAUAUUUAGACAGUGCUUAGAUUGUCAAAACAGAAAAGCAAUAAACUUUGCAUAAGAUAAUACCAUGAACAGGAAAAUUUAGAAAGACAUGAGAGUGUAUAUAUGUUCUUUUAUACACUACUAUGUAUAGAUAUGCUUCCAUCCUGGAUCACUGUACAGUAAAUAUAUCUAUAUAUAGAUGAAAUCAAGUCAUAGAAAUCUGACAUUCUGUGGGUUUGUCAAUUAUCCUUCCAUACAGAACAAACAGAGAUGAUAGAAAAUUCCCCAAAUGAAUAGGGUUGAAACACAAAGCUAUUCCAUCAACUCUUUACCAUAUUCUUUCUUUCUUUUUUAUUCCUGGGUCUCUGCCAAACAUUUUGCAGCUCAUACACAUACCAUCUUUCAUGAAUAUGUUACUGAUAAGGAUAUGUUUCUAGCCACUGAUUAAGAUAUCUGAGCUGAUUUGCAGUGUGUAAGAAAAUGCAAAAGUGCUCAGAAACCAUCUAGAAUGGUUCCUUUUCAAUAGGAUAAAUUAAAUGUUUUUCCACACCCCUCCUCCCUUGAAAUUUCCUUUCAACUAAAAGAGAAUUUCUGUGGCUUGCUGCAGAUUGUAAAGAAUGUAUUGAAUUGAAGUGGAUAAUAUAUGCUAAAAGGUAAGAGAUAGUUGUAAGCUGUGCAAAUACGGCAACAAACAAAGGCUAAGUCCUUUUAUUAAGGUGCUUGCUCUAUAGUCAUUUGUUUAAUCUGCAAUGGAAGUGCAUCCCUUGCAAGGAAAUGGAUAUAUAUUGUUUUUUGCAGAGCUUUUGAAGGUAGUGUUAUUAUAAUUGUCAUAUCUAUUAGACCCUUCACUGGAAACAAGAAAAAACUAAAGCCCAAGAAUAUAUGCAUGUAAGAGUACGAGGUAUGUGUAUAGCUUAAAAUAAAUGCAGUCUGACAAAAGUGACUCAAGUUUCAUAUAUCAAACAUGUGUUACCUCUGCUGGCCUUACUGACUACACAUUACUAAGUACAAAUCAGUGAUAAAAUGUCAAGAAAGAUGCAACCAGUCUAGGCCUUUGCAAAGACCAUUAGUCAUUCCACAGAGCUAUGAUAUUAUUUGUUCAUAUAAUCUUUCCUAUUUAAUGGACAUAAUAACCAUCUAUUCCUAGACCAAAGCCACCGAGGGAAAUGUUUCUCUUUUUCUUUUUGGCCCCACCCACAGCAUAUGGAAGUUCCUGGAAUCUGAGGUGCAGCUGCGACCUGUGGCACAGCUGUGGCAAAGUCAGAUCCUUAACCCAUUGCACCACAAGAAAUCUCACCCUAAGUAUAUUUCUAACUAUAAGGAAGGGUCUACUUGGUUAUGUCAAAGUAAAGUAUUCAACUCAUUCAGAUUUUAUAAUAUAAAACACAUUCAGAUUUUGUAAUAUAAAAAUGGAAACAGUUCAGCUGAAACAAUUAUUUUCAGGCUCAGACUAUUCAAAUGUAAUGGAAAUAUUAACCAAUAUCUGUUACUAUGAAUAUGAGAAUCACAUUAUAAAUGAAAAUACCUUAGUUUUAAUUACAUAAUUUUAAAAAACUGGUGAUUUUGGCUCUAAUUAGCAUCUGCAUUCUAGACUUUGUGAUGGCUGUGAAAACGUUAUUUAUGGAAGGUUUAUUCAUAUAUAAUUUGGUGAUUGUUGCUUUUAUCAAAUGUUGGAGUCUAAUGAAAUAAAAUGCAAAGAACUUGA